CGACGGUACCUGACUAAGAAGCCCCGGCUAACUACGUGCCAGCAGCCGCGGUAAUACGUAGGGGGCAAGCGUUAUCCGGAUUUACUGGGUGUAAAGGGAGCGCAGACGGCAUCACAAGUCAGAAGUGAAACUCCGGGGCUCAACCCCGGAACUGCCUUUGAAACUGUGGAGCUAGAGUGCAGGAGAGGUAAGCGGAAUUCCUAGUGUAGCGGUGAAAUGCGUAGAUAUUAGGAGGAACACCAGUGGCGAAGGCGGCUUACUGGACUGUAACUGACGUUCAGGCUCGAAAGCGUGGGGAGCAAACAGGAUUAGAUACCCUG
rnacentral:rRNA from 1 species